UACGGGGGGUGCGAGCGUUGUCCGGAAUCACUGGGCGUAAAGGGCGCGUAGGUGGCCUGAUAAGGGUGUGGUGAAAGUCCGGGGCUUAACCCCGGGCCUGCAGUGGGUACGGGCAGACUAGAGUGCGGUAGGGGAGACUGGAAUUCCUGGUGUAGCGGUGAAAUGCGCAGAUAUCAGGAGGAACACCGGUGGCGAAGGCGGGUCUCUGGGCCGUAACUGACGCUGAGGAGCGAAAGCGUGGGGAGCGAACAGG
rnacentral:rRNA from 1 species